UACGGGGGGGGCAAGCGUUGUUCGGAAUUACUGGGCGUAAAGGGCUCGUAGGCGGCCAACUAAGUCAGACGUGAAAUCCCCUCGGCUUAACCGGGGAACUGCGUCUGAUACUGGAUGGCUUGAGUUUGGGAGAGGGAUGCGGAAUUCCAGGUGUAGCGGUGAAAUGCGUAGAUAUCUGGAGGAACACCGGUGGCGAAGGCGGCAUCCUGGACCAACACUGACGCUGAGGAGCGAA
rnacentral:rRNA from 1 species